CAGCAACUGCAUGUGCGGCCAGCUCAGCAUGCGCUGCUGGUAUGACAAGGUGGACAGUCUUGCUGAGGGGGCGCAGGAAGGAAUGUUCUGAGGAGUGCCC
rnacentral:sRNA from 1 species